rnacentral:rRNA from 1 species
UAUCAGUCAUGCAUAGCAUAUCAAUAAGCGGAGGAAAAGAAACUAACAAGGAUUCCCUUAGUAACGGCGAGUGAAGCGGGAAGAGCUCAAAUUUGAAAUCUUCAAGGUUCUACCUUGACGAAUUGUAGUUUAUAGAAGUGUUUUCUGUUAGUAGAGUGGCAAAAGUUCUUUGGAAUAGGACAUCAUAGAGGGUGAGAAUCCCGUAUUUGGUCAUUCUUUCUAGCUUUGUGAUACACUUUCAACGAGUCGGAUUGUUUGGGAAUGCAGUCCAAAAUGGGUGGUAAAUUUCAUCUAAAGCUAAAUAUUGGCGAGAGACCGAUAGCGAACAAGUACCGUGAGGGAAAGAUGAAAAGAACUUUGAAAAGAGAGUUAAACAGUACGUGAAAUUGUCAAAAGGGAAGCGUUUGACACCAGUGUUGUUUUUUCCGAAAAUCAAUUACGAAUGUUUUGUUUUUAAGAAGUUAUGACUUCAUCGGCUUGCUUCUUUCUUUACGAAACUUUCUUAAUGCACUUUUCGGUUAACAAGUCAACAUCAAUUUCUUUUGUUGUAAAAGGGUAUGAGGAAGGUGGCUUUCUUUUCGGAGAAAGUGUUUAUAGCCUUGUGCCUCUGCAAUCGGAGAGAUUGAGGUCUGCAGCGUAGAUCCUUCGGGGUUAGAUACGUUUGUGCUAAGUUAUAGCUUUUCAUAGACAACUUGUUGACUAUGUUUAGUCUUGUAGCUUACUCGCUGACGCUAUAUUACCUACGCUUAGGAUGUUGACGAGACUGUCGAUCUCAUCUAUACAUGACUCUGCGCAUAUCAAUAAGCGGAGGAAAAGUCAACGUACCUACGCUUAGGAUGUUGACGAGACUGUCGAUCUCAUCUAUACAUGACUCUGCGCAUAUCAAUAAGCGGAGGAAAAAUGAGUAUACCUACGCUUAGGAUGUUGACACACGCGCGUGCUCG